UACGUAGGGGGCUAGCGUUGUCCGGAAUCAUUGGGCGUAAAGCGCGUGUAGGCGGUCCGGUAAGUCCGCUGUGAAAGUCGGGGGCUCAACCCUUGAAUGCCGGCCGAUACUGCCGGGCUAGAGUCCGGAAGAGGUGAGUGGAAUUCCUGGUGUAGCGGUGAAAUGCGCAGAUAUCAGGAGGAACACCGAUGGCGAAGGCAGCUCACUGGGACGGUACUGACGCUGAGACGCGAAAGCGUGGGGAGCAAACAGG
rnacentral:rRNA from 1 species